UCUAGCAUUACUAAUAUUAGAGGCACUGCUGCCCAGUGACCUAUGUUCAACGGCCGCGGUACCCUAACCGUGCAAAGGUAGCAUAAUCACUUGUUCUCUAAAUAAGGACUUGUAUGAAUGGCCACACGAGGGUUUAACUGUCUCUUACUUCUAAUCAGUGAAAUUGACCUAUCCGUGAAGAGGCGGAUAUAUACAAAUAAGACGAGAAGACCCUAUGGAGCUUCAAUUUAAUAGUACAAACCAAUAUACUAAAAACCUACAGGCACUAACUUAUCAUCAAUGUACUAUGAAUUUCGGUUGGGGUGACCUCGGAGCAUAACACAACCCCCGAAAAACACAUACCAAGACCUCACUAGUCUAAGUAAACCUGCCCCUAUUGAUCCAAUAACUUGAUCAAUGGACCAAGUUACCCUAGGGAUAACAGCGCAAUCCUAUUUUAGAGUCCGUAUCGACAAUAGGGUUUACGACCUCGAUGUUGGAUCAAGACAUCCCAAUGGUGCAGCCGCUAUUAAUGGUUCGUUUGUUC
rnacentral:rRNA from 1 species